rnacentral:rRNA from 1 species
UACGUAGGGGGCAAGCGUUGUCCGGAUUUAUUGGGCGUAAAGAGCGUGUAGGCGGCCAGUCAGGUCCGUUGUGAAAACUCGAGGCUCAACCUCGAGACGCCGAUGGAAACCGACUGGCUAGAGUCCGGAAGAGGAGAGUGGAAUUCCCGGUGUAGCGGUGAAAUGCGCAGAUAUCGGGAAGAACACCCGUGGCUAAGGCGGCUCUCUGGCCUGUCCUUGACGCUGAGGCGCGAAAGCUAGGGGAGCAAACGGG